rnacentral:lncRNA from 1 species
UCCUAAAUCUCCAGCUAAAUAGCGAUUAAGCAGAUCAGAUCAGAGAUAUAUCGAAGGAUGAUAUGCGCCGUGAGUGUAGUGGUGAUGCUCAUCACUACGAUGCACAACGGGUGCCCAUCACUGUUGCGCACAGCACGAUGCUUUUGCAUGGUGGAACUGUAGCUUUGUUAGCGAUGAAUGGUUUGAUUUCGAUUGGGGCUCCUUUUUUGGGAAGAAAAAUUUCUGUAGCGAUAAAGAAGAAAGGUAAUGUUGGGAUGGAUAGGGUAUCCCUAAUAUUUGAAAGAAUGAAGUUAAAAUCUGAUUUUUGAAAUGAUAGUUCGAAAAUUAUGGUUAGGUGUAAUUU